rnacentral:rRNA from 1 species
ACGAGGGGGGCAAGCGUUGUUCGGAAUUAUUGGGCGUAAAGGGUGCGUAGGCGGUUUGAUAAGUUCUGUGUGAAAUCUAUGGGCUCAACCCAUAGUCUGCACGGAAAACUGUCAGGCUUGAGGAUGGGAGAGGUGAGUGGAAUUUCCGGUGUAGCGGUGAAAUGCGUAGAUAUCGGAAGGAACACCUGUGGCGAAAGCGGCUCACUGGACCAUUUCUGACGCUGAUGCACGAAAGCUAGGGGAGCAAACAGGAUUAGAUACCCUGGUAGUCCUAGCCCUAAACGAUGAUUGCUUGAUGUGGUGGGUACCCAAUCCCGCCGUGUCGAAGCUAACGCGAUAAGCAAUCCGCCUGGGGAGUACGGUCGCAAGGCUG